UACAGAGGUGGCAAGCGUUGUUCGGAAUUACUGGGCGUAAAGGGCGCGCAGGCGGCUCGGAAAGUCGGGUGUGAAAACUCGGGGCUCAACCCCGGGCGUGCAUCCGAUACUGCCGGGCUUGAGGCAGGUAGGGGAGAUCGGAAUUCCUGGUGUAGCGGUGAAAUGCGCAGAUAUCAGGAGGAACACCGGUGGCGAAGGCGGAUCUCUGGGCCUGUCCUGACGCUGAGGCGCGAAAGCUAGGGGAGCGAACAGG
rnacentral:rRNA from 1 species